UGGUCAUAUACCAAGGCUUUUGGGAGGUGCAGUUCCUGACUUGCUGUGGACAUGACCAAAAAUCAAACCCCAUCCCAUUGGAUCACCUCGGUUUUUGCUGUUGUGAUCCUUUGGGAACAUUU